GUGUUUUGUGCCACUCCCAGAUUCUGUGUUAUAUGGAUGGAAGAAAACACUCUGGCAUGUGGGCCUGAUUUAUAGAUACCAUGGAGACAGGAACCUUACAUAUGUGUAUAGACUCCAGCAUGUGAAGAGCCGCCUGCUAUUGAUUUUGGGGGGAUUGUUAGUGAUGACAAAUUAGAGUAUAAGGAAGGUGACAAAGUGCAAUACAAGUGCAAUCCUGCAUACAGCCUGAUGGGAACUGAAUGGAUCACAUGCAGUGGAAAAACCUGGACACCUGCACCACAGUGUUUGGAAGAGAGUUUUCUCCAUUUUAUCAAAUUCCAAGAUUUUUGUUGUUAACCCUAAAUGCGAGCAAUGACACAGGACCUGACUACUGGAGGCAUGGUGUAAAAAUAUCCAUAACAAAGAAUAUGGCGAUGAAACACCAUUGUAUCAUCAUAAGAAAGAGAAGAGAGCUGCAACAUUAGGAGAAAUUGGCAAAUAAUAUUAAUCAAGAUCCUCAUUUCAGUGACCUCAUAGGAGUUGAUGGGCCCCCUAAGGCUGUACCUUGGAGAGGGGUACAGAGAGGUGCAUCUCUCCAUUUAUCCUGGCCUGCUUCACUGCUAAAAGUCCUCCCCUGAAAGCAAGGAAAAAGCCACUGAGUGAGGGGGAUGUUCUAACAGGAUAUGCCUAGAUAAACCUGGGGAUGUGCACUAUAUACAUACUACAGCUACAGUGUGUAAAGAAGUAAAAUAUUCAACAUACCUGCAAAGGUCCAAUGCACUAUUGUUUAUUUUUUACAUAUGCAUUAUUGUAAUAGGCAUGGAAGUGAUUAAAAUUCCAAAAUUCUA